rnacentral:lncRNA from 1 species
GGUCCAAGUUUGGAGAUGUUGAUACGUCCAUUUUGAUGACAUGUAUGUUGUGUUUCCUUUAGUGGUGGCAUGUGAACGUCAACUACAUGACACUUCACCUGUAAUAGAAACACUCAGUCUUUACUUAAUGGCUUUGUCCUUAUUUUUGUUCUAGGACAAGGUCACACCGGUGCCAACGGACUUUUUCUUGGACACGAUGCACCAAUUUUUUUCUGUUUUGAAAUGCCACCCAAAAAUUCUCAUGGCCAUUACUCGAUUUUUUGUGAGUGCAAAGAGAAAGAAAGUAGUACAUAACAAUCUUCCCAAUUGGGCGUAGGCCAUUAUUUCGCCAUGACUUCGCCUGUUGCAUGGGAAGAAUAGGAAAAGGAUCAUCGCACCCACGAAGGGAACAUCCCCUUGAUAUUUUAACCAUGCAGUGAGCGUGGGGUUCAAGUGCCGCAGUUCUCUGUAAACCCCAAGUUCAUAUUGGUUAGGGCAAACAAUCAUAUUUUGAUCAUAAUUAAAGGAACCUUUACAGCAUUAGCGCGGCACGAGUGAGUCAAAUGCCUAAUUUCUGCUCACACGCACGAGCGUGUGCAACUAAGCUAAUAUCCGAGUUGUUUAACGUUGAUUCAAAGAUAGUGGACUUAGAGUGCAGGCAUCGCAUUAAACCUGGCUACGUAAAGGACUUAGAUAGAGUAGCUCAUUUUAAUGCUAGUACGAACUUGGUAGUAAACUAGCGCAACUGACACGUUAUAAAGAAGAAACAUAACUACUAACCCAAUGGAA